rnacentral:rRNA from 1 species
UACGGAGGAUGCAAGCGUUAUCCGGAUUCAUUGGGUUUAAAGGGUGCGUAGGCGGCUCUUUAAGUCAGUGGUGAAAUCCUGCCGCUUAACGGUAGAAUUGCCAUUGAUACUGAAGAGCUUGAGUACAAUUGAGGUAAGCGGAAUGUGUAGUGUAGCGGUGAAAUGCUUAGAUAUUACACAGAACACCAAUUGCGAAGGCAGCUUACUAAACUGCAACUGACGCUGAUGCACGAAAGCGUGGGGAGCGAACAGG